AAAUUAGAGUGCUCAAAGCAAGCCAUCGCUCUGGAUACAUUAGCAUGGGAUAACAUCAUAGGAUUCCGGUCCUAUUGUGUUGGCCUUCGGGAUCGGAGUAAUGAUUAAUAGGGACAGUCGGGGGCAUUCG
rnacentral:ncRNA from 1 species